rnacentral:rRNA from 1 species
AUUGAACGCUGGCGGCAUGCCUUACACAUGCAAGUCGAACGGCAGCGGGGACUUCGGUCCGCCGGCGAGUGGCGAACGGGUGAGUAAUGUAUCGGAACGUACCAUUCAGUGGGGGAUAACUAUCCGAAAGGAUAGCUAAUACCGCAUAUUCUGUGAGCAGGAAAGCAGGGGAUCGCAAGACCUUGCGCUGAUUGAGCGGCCGAUAUCAGAUUAGCUAGUUGGUGAGGUAAAGGCUCACCAAGGCGACGAUCUGUAGCGGGUCUGAGAGGAUGAUCCGCCACACUGGGAAUGAGACACGGUCCAGACUCCGACGGGAGGCAGCAGUGGGGAAUUUUGGACAAUGGGGGGAACCCUGAUUCAGCCAUGCCGCGUGAGUGAAGAAGGCCUUCGGGUUGUAAAGCUCUUUCGGCCUGGAAAAAAUCGCAUGGGUUAAUACCCUGUGUGGAUGAUGGUACCGGAAUAAGAAGCACCGGCUAACUACGUGCCAGCCGCCGCGGUAAAAC